GGACAGAGAUGGAGAGUUACAUCAUGUGGCAAUUUUCAAUGAUGUGGUAUAAGAUCGUAUCUUUCAUUGCACAAAAGGGAUUAAAGCUUUUCUAAAGUUCAAAAUUUCCUCAUGCAUACUAUGGAACCCCAGCAAGGGUAAAAGGAUAUUCACUUUGUUUCUGGAUGCUGAAUUGGAGCAACACUGUAGAACUCAGAAUGUUGCAUCGUAUCUUUCAUUGCACAAAAGGGAUUAAUGCUUUUCUAAAGUUCAAAAUUUCCACAUGCAUACGAUGGAACCCCAGCAAGCGUAAAAGGAUAUUCGCUUCGUUUCUGGAUGCUGAAUUGGAGCAACACCGUAGAACUCAGAAUGUUGCAUCUGACAAAAACCUAUCUUUUGAAACUUAAGCUGCCUAGCUGUUUUAUUUUGGCCUAUAGAGAGGCAUUCACUUCAUAAAUAUGAGAUAAUUCUUUCAGCUAGAGUAGUUUUAUACGUCUUAAUCAAGCCACAACCAUCUUUAGAAAACAAUGAUCGUCCAGCAGCGGAUAUUACUCAUAUAACCUCUCCAUGUCUUGGAUGCCUCAUCAUAGAGUGUGAAGGUCGAGAGAUGCUGAGCUUGACUGGAAAGACUAAAAGGUAAUCUAGAGUCCUAGCUCUCUCUAACCUGUGAAGCUAACAGGUUUAUAAAUAAUUGAGUGUUCACCUUGUAUGUUAGUUUACCUCUUUUCUCAUUCUUUGGUUUUAUGAUAAAUCAUUCUUCGAUAAUUUGUUAUACAAAAGGGAUACUUAUUAUUAUUAUUCCCCUUUUAUUGAUGAAAGCAUAUGCUAAUAGAAUGAUAAAAAUGAAAAGGUAACACAAACUGAAGAAUAAAAGAUUAGUCUUAGCUUGAUUACAUUAUCAUGUUAUUCGACUUUGGUGGCCGGUCACAAUUUGCUGGGCUCCAACCUAUUGCUUGCUUCUCAUUGUCAUAGAUCACCAUUUUAUCUUGCAUUGAUAUAUCUCCAAUAAGGUUGACAUUUUGCAGGCCGGCUUCAGUACCAUUUAGAACCCCCAAGCAGACACUGCCCUUUGAUGAGAUAAUAAGAUAUGAUUCCGGGG
rnacentral:lncRNA from 1 species